rfam:Mus musculus chromosome 3, GRC primary reference assembly.
GUGAGUCUGUGCUCACAUCAGCAGCAUGUAUACUAAGAAAAGAUUAGCAUGGACCCUGUGCAAGAAUGACAUAACAAUUCACAGAGCAUUCUAUAAUUUUA